GCGCUCGCAGAUUAAGCCUGAGCGGAGCCCAGGGGCACGCGCGGCUCGGCGGCGGCUGGGGCGGCUCGGCGGGGGUCCCGGCGUGGACACCGAGAGGGUGCCCUUUCCUCGCGGCGAACUGGGAGCGACUGGGAGAUGGGGAUGCAGAGGACGGAAGAAGUACAGUGACUUGAUCAAUCUCUUACAGCAUUAGGGGCAGAAUUUGACCUGACCUUUUGGACCUUUUCUUGUCAACCCCAAGCAAGCAGAGAGCAUGAAGAAGUUGAAUGACCUAACAGGUUGCUUUGUCCACCUGAGAUUCUGGCAUGUAGACGCCUCUUCCUGAGUCGGACUUUGUAUGUGGUCCUCUGGGGGCAGACAAGUAGGUAGGAAUGAAGCAUGAGAAAAAUUGUCAUUCCUUUUCAAGGUACUUACCUCAGAUGAAGUCAUAAGGAUUUUUUUAAAUAUGUUUUAUUGAUUUUUUUUUUCAGAGAGGAAGGGAGAGGAAUAGAGAGUUAGAAACAUCAAUGGGAGAGAAACAUUGAUCAGCUGCCUCCUGCACACCUCCUACUGGGGAUGUGCCCGCAACCAAGGUACAUGCCCUUAGCCGGAAUCGAACCCGGGACCUUUCAGUCCGCAGGCCGACGCUCUAUCCACUGAGCCAAACCAGCUAGGGCAUCACAAGGAUUUUUAAGCAAGGUGGGACCAGACCUGGCAGAUGGGGAUGGAGGGGGCUGUUUCUGUUGCCAAGGGGGUUUUAGUGGUGUUUGGAGAUUUAAAGAAGGAGUCAGCAAACUCUGAUCAGUGGGCCAAAUGCGCCCACUGCCUGUUUUUAUAAAUAAAGUUUUGAUGAAACAUAGGCACACUCAUUUAUUUAUUGUCUCAGCAUGCUUUUGCUCUACAUGACAAGAGUUGAGUAGUUACUGACAUUGGAUGGCUUUCAAAGCCUAAAGUCUUUACUAUCUGAUCCUUUAGAAAAGGUUUGACAACCCCUGCCUCACACCAUACACACCAAAAAUUAACUCAAAAUGUAGCAUAGACCUAAAUGUAAAACCUAAAACUGACAAGAAAAGUACAAGGAGAAAGUCUUUUUGACUCAAGAUCACAAAGAUUUCUUUGCUAUCACACCAAAAGUAAAAUUAUUAUUUUAAAAUGCUUUUAUUAAAUUGGACUUCAUCAAAAUUAAGAACUCCUCAAAAGACACUAUUAAAUUAAUGAAAAUACAAGCCACAGACUGGGAGAAAUUAUUUGCAAAUAACCCAUGUGAUAAAGGAUGUGGAUGCAGCAUCUAAGAGAACUCUAAACUCAGUAAUGAGAAAACAACCCAGUAACAAUGGGCAAGAGAUUUGAACAGACACAUUAUCAAAAAUAGGUGAAAAUAUAUAGAUAACACAUAAGGACAAGAAAGGAUCCUCAGCAUCAUUCAUCAUCAGGAAAAAGCAAAUUAAAAUCACGAGAUACCUCUGCAGACCUACUAGAUGGCUACAAUUAAAGAGCGAUCACACCAAGUGUGAGGCAGGACACGGAGCAGCUGAAACUCCCACUGCUGGUGGGAUGUGAAGCGGUAUAACCACAGGGAAACAGCCAGGCAGCUUCUUAAAAAGUUACACAUACCAUAUAACCCAUCAAUUUCACUCCUAGGUAUUUACCCAAGAAAAAUGAGAGCUUAUAACCAUAUUUCCACACAAGGACCUGUACAUUAAUGUUCAUAGCAGCUUUGCUCAUAACUAGAAACAAUCCAAAUAUUCAUCAACAAGUGAAUAAACAAAUGUUUGUAUAUCCAUGCAAUAGAAUACUACUCAUCAAUAAGAGGGAAUGAACUAUUGACACACUCAACAACAUGAAUAAACCUCAAAUUGAUUGUCAUAAUUAUCCUGAGGAUAAUUUAUAUCCUGUGGUUAUACUGCCAGACAAAAGUGAGUAUAGCCCUGGCCAGUGUGGCUCAGUUGGUUGAGCAUUGUCCCAUACACCAGAGGGUCUAUUCCUGGUCAGGUUACAUGCCAAGGUUGCAGGCUUGAUCCCCAGUAGGGGGCAUGCAGGAAGCAGCCGGUUGAUGCUUCUCUCUCACAUUGAUAUUUCUCUUCUUCUCCCUAAAAAACUUUUAAAAUAAAUAAAUAAUAAAAAAAUAAAAGUGAGUAUAUACUGUAUGCUUCCAUUUAUUAAACAUUCUAUAAAAUGCAAAUUAACCUAUAGUGAACGAAAGCAGAUCUGUGGUUACCUGGGAAUGGCAAGGGGCAAGGAAGAGCAGGAAGGAUUGAUUACAAAGGGGCACAAAGACGCUUGUCAGUAACGGAUGUACAUGGUCUUGUGAUGGUGUCACAGGUAUGUGUUUGUGUGUGUGUGUGUGUGUGUGUGUGUGUAUGUCAAAACAUGAAAUUGUACAUUUUAAAUAUAUGCCAUUUAUUGUAUGUCAAUAUACAUAGCUAUAUUGACAACAAAGCUAUUUGUUAUUAUUUUAAAAUAUAUUUUUAUUGAUUUGGUAGAGGGAGAUAGAGAUAGAAACAUCUUUGAUGAGAGGAUCACCAAUCAGCUGCCUCCCACACACCCUACACUGGGGAUCAAACUGUGACCUCCAGGUUCAUAGGUCAAUGCUCAACCACUGAGCCAUGCUGGCUGGGUGACAAUAAAGUUAUUUUUAAAACAUUUUUUUAUUUUUCUAUUUUAGUUGACAUACAAUAUUAUAUUAGUUUCAGGUGUAAAACAUAGUGAGUAGACAUUUAUAGAGCUUAUGAAGUGAUCACUGGUUAAGUCUAAUAACCAUCCGACACUAUAUUAAAGCCAUUUUUUUAAAAAAAGGAAGAAAAACCCUCAGGUUAUUUCUUUCCUUAAAUACUCUGUGUAGUUUGAAGCAGCCAGCCCACUCCCCAGGUUUCAUAUUCCUUACUCUCGCCACAGUGUUUUAUCUGAGCAGCCACUCUGUCCUCCAAAGCCUUACCUUCACUGUAGGUGACAACAGGUGAUAAGUAUUGUCAUUGUGGGACAUGGACUUCCAGAAUACUAUCUCCUGAUGAUAACAGGACCACUGAUGCCUUCAGAUCCAACCGGAUCAGAUGUCCAACCUCAGAUUCUCAUUUCCUGCUUGCCGCCAUGCCGGUAUUAAUCACCUGUUGCUGAGGGUUAAUUACAGAGAACAAUCUAACGCGUUGAAGCAGAGAGGAAUGUAAUAAAAGAUGCUGAAGACAAA